rnacentral:rRNA from 1 species
AGGGUUCGAUUAUGGCUCAGGACGAACGCUGGCGGCGCGCCUAACACAUGCAAGUCGAACGAGCAAAGAGGAGCUUGCUUCUCUGAGCGAGUGGCGAACGGGUGAGUAACGCGUGAGGAACCUGCCUCAAAGAGGGGGACAACAGUUGGAAACGACUGCUAAUACCGCAUAAGCCCACGGGUCGGCAUCGACCAGAGGGAAAAGGAGCAAUCCGCUUUGAGAUGGCCUCGCGUCCGAUUAGCUAGUUGGUGAGGUAACGGCCCACCAAGGCGACGAUCGGUAGCCGGACUGAGAGGUUGAACGGCCACAUUGGGACUGAGACACGGCCCAG